rnacentral:rRNA from 1 species
GACGAACGCUGGCGGCGUGCUUAACACAUGCAAGUCGAGCGGUAAGGCCCUUUCGGGGGUACACGAGCGGCGAACGGGUGAGUAACACGUGGGUGACCUGCCCUUAGCUCUGGGAUAAGCCUGGGAAACUGGGUCUAAUACCGGAUAUGACUCCAUAACGCAUGUUGUGGGGUGGAAAGCCUUGUGCGGCUAGGGAUGGGCCCGCGGCCUAUCAGCUUGUUGGUGGGGUG